rnacentral:lncRNA from 1 species
UAGAAAUGCUAAAAGCUUCACGCAUUGUUUAAGUACUGGAACUGAGGACAUCAGCUCGCUGAGGACAGGAGCCAGUGGUGAGACAGAGCCUGGAAGAAAAAGACGGGCCUGGAAGGCAAAGCGUGGUCCUUGCCCACGGUGGAACCCUGCCAAGUGGACUAGGAAGAGAUGGGGGCUGAGCUGCCUUCUGGGGAAGGUAAGGUGACCGCAGCUCAGAGAGGCUGAGUAGCUUCCCCAGGAUCACACAGCUGGGGAGUGAAGGAGCCCACACUCGCCACCCCAAACUGCCUCUCUACAUGCACAAGCCUUCUCUGAGGAUCCUGAAGGUGAGACGUGGGAAGGGACUGACACACAUUCCACAGAAUCGGAGGUUUCCAAGUCCUCUCAGGGGGGUUUCCAAGUCCUCUCAUCAAUAUCCCUCCAUCUAGCCCCCUCAGGCUGUCUCUGGGUCCCCCUUCCUUCUGCCCAGAUCCCUGCAGUGCCCACCCCACCCUCUGCAGCAACAAAUUUCUCUUCCUUCCGGAAAGCAGUGGCUGAUAUGCCCAACCUACCAUGGCGGCCUCCACAGAAAGCCAGGCCCUCUCACUCCCCGUGAGCAGUCAGGGCUGCUAAGAACAAACAUUUUUCCCCUUUGUCACAUAGAGUAAUAGACUCUUGAAAAAUCACAUUCUGGGAGGCUCAUGGCUGAAUCUUAUAAUCUGAGACUCUCCAUCAAAGAACCUCAGAGCCACCGACUAAUAGAAUCUCGAAGUCAGUGACUGGAGAAUCCUACGAUGCUGCACUCUCUCCAUCACUGACUGG